GAAGGGGAAAAAUCUUCAACAGGAACCAGGCCACUGAGAGAUGGAAGAAAGGACAGCUCUUACCCAAACCUCAUGAGGAGGCUACCGGAAUCACCGGACAGUUCCUUUAUUGGGAAAACCCCCAGCGACUUUCCAAUGAAAUGGAGAAGGGAAAAGAGACCCUUCGGAAUCAGAUGAGUCCAUGAACCGGCAGCAGUCAGGGCAGUGGUGACAUCACAGAAGGAGCAUGGGCCUUAGACAGUCAUUACCCUUUAGAAUCCUUGCAGCUUUGAGCAAGUUCAUGAAUCUCACUAAAGCUCAGUUUCCUCCAUAGAAUUAAGCAAUAUCAGAGCCUCUGCACUGGACAACUCCAGAGGGCACCAUUGGGGUUAUAUUUUAUGUUUGCCUAACCUUCACUGCAGUGAGUAGGUGCGUGCUUUCUACAAUGUCCUGAGGUCUAAAGGGGUAGAGUUCUGUGUGUGGCAUUUUAGGCCUGGAAAGGAUGGGAGCCUACAAAACCAGAGAAAUAUUGCAGAGAUCCCAGAGCACCACCCAUGAUGCCAGGCUGGAGGAAGCAGCAGGCUAGAGGAAUUCAGGACAGACGAGCCAGGAAAGAGGACCCAAUGCAGAGCUCACAUCCCACCCUCCUUUCCCCAUGACAAAGCACUGGCAAACCCUGCCAAAGAAGACGCUUGGCUGCAAAGCAGUUUGGAACUGGACCCAGGAGCUCACCACCACAGGGAGUGCUGCACUUUGACUGGACAGAAUGCAUCCUCCCUGCCCACAGAGCAUGUGCCCAGGAUGAAUCUCACUGUAUCCCAGUUCCCCAUGAUGGGCCCCAAACCUCUUUUUCACAGUAAUAAAGAAAACACACUUUACAAAAAGGC